UACAGAGGUCCCGAGCGUUGUUCGGAUUCAUUGGGCGUAAAGGGUGCGUAGGCGGCGGGGUAAGUCUGAUGUGAAAUCCCAGGGCUCAACCCUGGAACUGCAUUGGAUACUGCCUUGCUUGAGUACUGGAGAGGGAACUGGAAUUUACGGUGUAGCAGUGAAAUGCGUAGAGAUCGUAAGGAAGGCCAGUGGCGAAGGCGAGUUCCUGGACAGUGACUGACGCUGAGGCACGAAGGCCAGGGGAGCAAACGGG
rnacentral:rRNA from 1 species